rnacentral:rRNA from 1 species
UACGAAGGGGGCUAGCGUUGUUCGGAAUCACUGGGCGUAAAGGGCGCGUAGGCGGCCGAUCAAGUCGGGGGUGAAAGCCUGUGGCUCAACCACAGAAUUGCCUUCGAUACUGGUUGGCUUGAGACCGGAAGAGGUAAGUGGAACUGCGAGUGUAGAGGUGAAAUUCGUAGAUAUUCGCAAGAACACCAGUGGCGAAGGCGGCAUCCUGGACCGACACUGACGCUGAGGCGCGAAAGCUAGGGGAGCAAACGGG